rnacentral:tRNA from 1 species
GCCUGGAUGGUGGAAUUGGUAGACACCCGAGACUUAAAAUCUCGUGAGCUUAAGGCUCGUGCGAGUUCGAUUCUCGCUCCAGGCACCA